CGCCCAGCUGGGAUCCCUUCCUCUAGGUCUCCCGGCUCUUCCGUCCAACUUCAGAAGUCUGAGCCUCUCGCCUGGGCGGCACACAGGGCUGCCCCGCUUUGCGGGGGAUGGCUCUCUCCUCUGCCCUUUAUCGCUUUUCCCCGAGUCUCACAGCGUUGGAACCGGAGCUUUCCGGGGACGGCCCCUCUGCCGUGGCGUCUCUCCCUAACUUCUCGGGGUGGCUGGGGUGACAAAGGGCCAGCGUCACCCAGCCCCUGGCAGUUUUACGUACCCAGACGCGCUUUUCUUGGCUUCCUAAAGCCAGCUCCCGAGACAGAAAUGGCGCUCAGGCCAAGGACCCCCCUCUCCAACCUGGAGAUCAAGAGGUACUGAUGGGAAGGGCUUCGAAGCCUUUUAGCCAAAAAGGGUCCUCCUGUUACCACUCAACAUUCUGGAGCAGAUAAGAAAAGAGGAAGGCUAAAAGUUCUAUUGAAGCGAGAUCCUCUCCCUGUGACCUCACUACUCAAACUGUGGCCCGUGGACCAGCAACCUCAGCAUGCACUGUCCAUCCAUUUGAAAUACAGAAGCUUCGCCUUUCGCAGUCAGGGCUUUCUUUAUGGUGCUCUGUCACUCCAAGGAAAAAACUAAUACAGGAAAAGUGUGCUGUGAGCAACAGGCCAACCAAAAAGCUCUGGUUGACUGUGUCCCUAUGCACUCAAGAUGGCUACCUUUCUAU